GAACACUAGGUGUGGCGGACUGAUUCACGUCUGCUGCGCCGUAGCUAACGCAUUAAGUGUUCCGCCUGGGGAGUACGGCCGCAAGGCUAAAACUCAAAGGAAUUGACGGGGCCCCGCACAAGCGGCGGAGCAUGCGGCUUAAUUCGAUGCAACCCGAAGAACCUUACCUGGGUUUGACAUGGUGGGUCUAGCUGUGGAAACACAGUGUGCUUAGGCGCUCAUCACAGGUGGUGCAUGGCUGUCGUCAGCUCGUGUCGUGAGAUGUUGGGUUAAGUCCCGCAACGAGCGCAACCCUUGUCCUAUGUUGCCAGCACGUAAUGGUGGGGACUCAUGGGAGACUGCCGGGGACAACUCGGAGGAAGGCGAGGACGAUGUCAAGUCAUCAUGCCCCUUAUAUCCAGGGCUGCACGCAUGCUACAAUGGGCGGUACAGUGGGCCGCGAUCUCGCAAGAGUCAGCCAAUCCCUCAAAGCCGUCCCCAGUUCGGAUUGAAGUCUGCAACUCGACUUCAUGAAGCCGGAGUCGCUAGUAAUCGUGGAUCAGCUAUGCCACGGUGAAUACGUUCUCGGGGCUUGUACACACCGCCCGUCACAUCACGGAAGUCGGUAACACCCGAAGUCAGUGGCCUAACCCUUUAUUGGGAAGGAGCUGCCUAAGGUGGGAUUGGUAACUGGGAUGAAGUCGUAACAAGGUAACCGUA
rnacentral:rRNA from 1 species